rnacentral:rRNA from 1 species
UACGUAGGCAGCAAGCGUUGUUCGGAGUUACUGGGCGUAAAGGGCUCGUAGGUGGCCAACUAAGUCGGACGUGAAAUCCCUCAGCUUAACUGGGGAACUGCGUCCGAUACUGGAUGGCUUGAGUUUGGGAGAGGGAUGCGGAAUUCCAGGUGUAGCGGUGAAAUGCGUAGAUAUCUGGAGGAACACCGGUGGCGAAGGCGGCAUCCUGGACCAACACUGACACUGAGGAGCGAAAGCCAGGGGAGCAAACGGG